rnacentral:rRNA from 1 species
GAUGAACGCUAGCGGCAGGCUUAAUACAUACAAGUCGAGGGGCAGCAUGAUUGUAGCAAUACAAUUGAUGGCGACCGGCAAACGGGUGCGGAACACGUACACAACCUUCCAAUAAGUGGGGAAUAGCCCAGAGAAAUUUGGAUUAAUACCCCGUAACAUAACGAUGUGGCAUCACAUUGUUAUUAUAGAUUUUUCGCUUAUUGAUGGGUGUGCGGCUGAUUAGAUAGUUGGCGGGGUAACGGCCCACCAAGUCUACGAUCAGUAGCUGAUGUGAGAGCAUGAUCAGCCACACGGGCACUGAGACACGGGCCCGACUCCUACGGGAGGCAGCAGUAAGGAAUAUUGGACAAUGGACGCAAGUCUGAUCCAGCCAUGCCGCGUGAAGGAUUAAGGUCCUCUGGAUUGUAAACUUCUUUUAUAAGGGACGAAAAAAGGCUUUUCUAAGUCGUCUGACGGUACCUUAUGAAUAAGCACCGGCUAACUCCGUGCCAGCCGCCGCCGUAAUAC